CCUGGCUCAGGAUGAACGCUGGCGGCGUGCCUAACACAUGCAAGUCGAACGAAGCUCUCUGAAGUGAGAUUCGGUCAAGCUAAGGAGAAGACUUAGUGGCGGACGGGUGAGUAACGCGUGGGUAACCUGCCGUAUGCAGGGGGACAACAGUUGGAAACGACUGCUAAUACCGCAUAAGCGCACGGUUCUGCAUGGAGCAGUGUGAAAAGAUUUAUCGGCAUACGAUGGACCCGCGUCUGAUUAGCUAGUUGGUGAGGUAACGGCCCACCAAGGCAACGAUCAGUAGCCGGCCUGAGAGGGUGAACGGCCACAUUGGGACUGAGACACGGCCCAAACUCCUACGGGAGGCAGCAGUGGGGAAUAUUGCACAAUGGGGGAUACCCUGAUGCAGCGACGCCGCGUGAGUGAAGAAGUAUUUCGGUAUGUAAAGCUCUAUCAGCAGGGAAGAAAAUGACGGUACCUGACUAAGAAGCCCCGGCUAACUACGUGCCAGCCGCCGC
rnacentral:rRNA from 1 species